GAUGAACGCUGGCGGCGUGCCUAACACAUGCAAGUCGAGCGAUCUUCUUCGGAAGAGAGCGGCGGACGGGUGAGUAACGCGUGGGUAACCUGCCCUGUACACACGGAUAACAUACCGAAAGGUAUGCUAAUACGGGAUGACAUAUGAAAGUCGCAUGGCUUUUAUAUCAAAGCUCCGGCGGUACAGGAUGGACCCGCGUCUGAUUAGCUAGUUGGUAAGGUAACGGCUUACCAAGGCGACGAUCAGUAGCCGACCUGAGAGGGUGAUCGGCCACACUGGAACUGAGACACGGUCCAGACUCCUACGGGAGGCAGCAGUGGGGAAUAUUGCACAAUGGGCGAAAGCCUGAUGCAGCAACGCCGCGUGAGCGAUGAAGGCCUUCGGGUCGUAAAGCUCUGUCCUCAAGGAAGAUAAUGACGGUACUUGAGGAGGAAGCCCCGGCUAACUACGUGCCAGCAGCCGCGGUAAUACGUAGGGGGCUAGCGUUAUCCGGGAAUUACUGGGCGUAAAGGGUGCGUAGGCGGUCUUUCAAGCCAGAAGUGAAAGGCUACGGCUCAACCGUAGUAAGCUUUUGGAACUGUAGGACUUGAGUGCAGGAGAGGAGAGUAGAAUUCCUAGUGUAGCGGUGAAAUGCGUAGAUAUUAGGAGGAAUACCAGUAGCGAAGGCGGCUCUCUGGACUGUAACUGACGCUGAGGCACGAAAGCGUGGGGAGCAAACAGGAUUAGAUACCCUGGUAGUCCACGCCGUAAACGAUGAGUACUAGGUGUCGGGGGUUACCCCCCUCGGUGCCGCAGCUAACGCAUUAAGUACUCCGCCUGGGAAGUACGCUCGCAAGAGUGAAACUCAAGGGAAUUGACGGGGACCCGCACAAGUAGCGGAGCAUGUGGUUUAAUUCGAAGCAACGCGAAGAACCUUACCUAAGCUUGACAUCCCACUGAUCUCUCCCUAAUCGGAGAUUUCCCUUCGGGGACAGUGGUGACAGGUGGUGCAUGGUUGUCGUCAGCUCGUGUCGUGAGAUGUUGGGUUAAGUCCCGCAACGAGCGCAACCCUUGCCUUUAGUUGCCAGCAUUAAGUUGGGCACUCUAGAGGGACUGCCGAGGAUAACUCGGAGGAAGGUGGGGAUGACGUCAAAUCAUCAUGCCCCUUAUGCUUAGGGCUACACACGUGCUACAAUGGGUGGUACAGAGGGUUGCCAAGCCGUGAGGUGGAGCUAAUCCCUUAAAGCCAUUCUCAGUUCGGAUUGUAGGCUGAAACUCGCCUACAUGAAGCUGGAGUUACUAGUAAUCGCAGAUCAGAAUGCUGCGGUGAAUGCGUUCCCGGGUCU
rnacentral:rRNA from 1 species